UACGGAGGGUGCAAGCGUUGUCCGGAUUUAUUGGGUUUAAAGGGUGCGUAGGUGGCUCAUUAAGUCAGUGUUUAAAGUCAACAGCUCAACUGUUGGAAUGGCAUUGAUACUGAUGAGCUUGAGUAAAGUUGAGGUAGACAGAAUUCCUGGUGUAGCGGUGAAAUGCGCAGAUAUCAGGAGGAACACCUGCGGUGUAGACGGCUUUCUGGACCACUACUGACACUGAGACACGAAAGCGUGGGUAGCAAACAGG
rnacentral:rRNA from 1 species